UGUUAUGCUAAUCUUUCCUUCCUAACAUGUCACAUGUAUUAUCUUUAUUAAUUUUAAUUGUAUCUAAAGGAGUAAUUUAUUUGGAGGAAUUGGUUAAAAUGCCUCUUUUCGUAAAUGUCCAUUCUCUAUUUUUUUCUUUAAAGUUUACUUUACAAUCUGAGAUCUACCCAAAUCACUUUAUAAAAUGUUUUAGAUACCUAAUAUUACUGUAAAAUUAAGCUAAGUCAUGCUUACGAAAUGUUUCUUGUGCAUUUUGGCUUCAAAAGUGUGACGAUGAGUCUUGCAAAUACACGACACGCAGCCCCAACUUUCGUCUGCUCGGUGACCGUACGUGAACGGUGAACAGUUUGCCCAAACUAUCCUAACUGUACUGGAACCCUCUUAAGAAAGUACACUGAAGCAGACUUGUACAUGCAGCCACAUCUUAGAGACACAAUGCUCUCAAGAAAAGAAGAAUGUUGGUGUCAGAAUUCAAGUAGAAAAAGCAAUGACGAAGAUAAGACCUGCGGUUGAGUCAGCAGCAUCCAUGGCUCGAAGAGCUGCUGUGGAAAAGCACAUUUCCUGAGUUGCUUCUGGUACUUACGGGUUAACCAGUGAGUGAGAACUACCAAGCGGAGUCUCAAGGUUCAGCUCUUUGCUCAAAGCCCAAAGGUUCCAUUGCUCCUUGUCUGUGUUGCCGGUAGAACUGGUGGUAAUCGCAGAGAAUUUAGGCCUAAACCAUCCAUAAUUAACGGCUACAGUUGGCAAUUAUGCAGUCAUUGAGUUAAUCAAAUGAUGGCUUUUACAAAUUUUUAAUACAAAAAUUUGUAAAAAAUAAUCCUUUAAAAUCAAAUCUCCCUAAUUUUACUUAUAUACUUGCCAUACUAAGUUUGUUCUUCUGGCAGUAAACUGUGUUAUAAUCAUCUUUCUCCCUUAUAUGAUUCUAUACAUCUCUCUGCGUAUAAUUAUAUAUCUUCUCUAGUUAAUUAAUAUUGAAUGAUGAUUGCGUCUUCUAAGCUAGAGUGCUGUAUAUAAUUGUUGGCCAUGAGCUCAUGAUUCUCAUCAAAAAAUUCACAGUUCACUCGAUCUCUUUCUCUGACAUUUUUCAAAUA